CCUACGGGUGGCAGCAGUGAGGAAUAUUGGUCAAUGGCCGGAAGGCUGAACCAGCCAAGUCGCGUGAAGGAAGAAGGAUCUAUGGUUUGUAAACUUCUUUUAUAGGGGAAUAAAGGUAUCCACGGGUGGAUAUUUGCAUGUACCCUAUGAAGAAGCAUAGGCUAACUCCGUGCCAGCAGCCGGGGUAAUACGGAGGAUGCGAGCGUUAUCCGGAUUUGUUGGGUUUAAAGGGUGCGUAGGUUGUUUUUUAAGGCAUCGGGGAAAGUUUGUGGCUCAACCAUAAAACUGCCGUUGAAACUGGACGUCUUGAGUGUGUUUGAGGUAUGCGUAAUGCGUGGUGUAGCGGUGACAUGCCUAGAUAUCACGCAGAACUCCGAUUGCGAAGGCAGCUUACUACGCCCUAACUGACACUGACGCACGAAAGCGUGGGGAUCGAACAGGAUUAGAUACCCGAGUAGUC
rnacentral:rRNA from 1 species